CCCUUAGAUGUUCUGGGCCGCACGCGUGCUACACUGAGUAAUUCAAUGGGUAAGGGAACGCUAGAGCAUUACCUAAUCUUGAAAUUUGCUCGUGAUGGGGAUCGACGGUUGCAAUUUUCCGUCGUGAACGAGGAAUACCUUGUAGGCGCAUGUCAUCAUCAUGCGCCGAAUACGUCCCUGCCCUUUGUACACACCGCCCGUCGCUCCUACCGAUUGAGUGAUCCGGUGAGGCUCUGGGACCUGGACGGAAAGAGCGUUUCGCUUGUUCUGUUUGGGAAACUUGGUCGAACCUUAUCAUUUAGAGGAAGGAGGAGUCGUAACA
rnacentral:rRNA from 1 species